rnacentral:rRNA from 1 species
CUCAGGAUGAACGCUGGCGGCGUGCCUAAUACAUGCAAGUCGAGCGAACAGAUGAGAAGCUUGCUUCUCUGAUGUUAGCGGCGGACGGGUGAGUAACACGUGGGUAACCUACCUAUAAGACUGGGAUAACUCCGGGAAACCGGGGCUAAUACCGGAUAAUAUAUUGAACCGCAUGGUUCAAUGUUGAAAGACGGUUUCGGCUGUCACUUAUAGAUGGACCCGCGCCGUAUUAGCUAGUUGGUAAGGUAACGGCUUACCAAGGCAACGAUACGUAGCCGACCUGAGAGGGUGAUCGGCCACACUGGAACUGAGACACGGUCCAGACUCCUACGGGAGGCAGCAGUAGGGAAUCUUCCGCAAUGGGCGAAAGCCUGACGGAGCAACGCCGCGUGAGUGAUGAAGGUCUUAGGAUCGUAAAACUCUGUUGUUAGGGAAGAACAAAUUUGUUAGUAACUGAACAAGUCUGAC